rnacentral:rRNA from 1 species
UCGUCACACUAUCAUUAACUGAAUCCAUAGGUUAAUGAGGCGAACCGGGGGAACUGAAACAUCUAAGUACCCCGAGGAAAAGAAAUCAACCGAGAUUCCCCCAGUAGCGGCGAGCGAACGGGGAGGAGCCCAGAGCCUGAAUCAGCAUGUGUGUUAGUGGAAGCGUCUGGAAAGGCGCGCGAUACAGGGUGACAGCCCCGUACACAAAAGCGCAUGUGCUGUGAGCUCGAUGAGUAGGGCGGGACACGUGGUAUCCUGUCUGAAUAUGGGGGGACCAUCCUCCAAGGCUAAAUACUCCUGACUGACCGAUAGUGAACCAGUACCGUGAGGGAAAGGCGAAAAGAACCCCGGCGAGGGGAGUGAAAAAGAACCUGAAACCGUGUACGUACAAGCAGUGGGAGCCCCACCACCAAAGCAUUUGCUGUACCGCGUUGACGGAGCGAAGCGACGUCAAACCGAUAAAACAGCAGUGUA